GAGUUUGAUCGUGGCUCAGGACGAACGCUAGCGGCGCGCCUAAGGUAUGCAAGUCGAACGGACCCGCAAGGGUUAGUGGCGAACGGUCGAGUAACACGUAGACAACCUGCCUCUGCAGUGGGGGAUAACUGUGGGAAACCGCAGCUAAUACCGCAUGUGGCCGAAAGGGGAAGCCCUUUUGUGCUAAAGGAGCAAUUCGCUGGGAGAUGGGUCUGCGGCCUAUCAGGUAGUUGGUGGGGUAACGGCCUACCAAGCCGACGACGGGUAGCUGGUCUGAGAGGAUGAUCAGCCGGACGGGGACUGAGACACGGCCCGACUCCUCCGGGAGGCAGCAAUGAGGAUAUUGCACAAUGGGGGAAACCCUGAUGCAGCGACGCCGCGUGGGUGAGGAAGUUCUUCGGAAUGUAAA
rnacentral:rRNA from 1 species